GAAAUAAAUAAAAUAUUAAGCUGCUAACUUAAUACAUAGUGUGUAAACUCAUUAUUAUUUCU
rnacentral:tRNA from 1 species